UUCCAUAUGGUCUAGUGGUUAGGAUUUGUGGUUUUCACCCACAAGGCCCGGGUUCAAUUCCCGGUAUGGAAA